UGUGCCCCUAAUAAUGGCUACUUUAUGAUCCCUUUGUAUGAUAAGGGGGAUUUCAUUCUGAAGAUUGAGCCUCCCCUAGGGUGGAGUUUUGGCAAGCACGACAGUGCGUGUAACCAACUCCAAUGCCAAUGCGGCCAGUCCCCUCAUAGUUGCUGGCUACAAUGUGUCUGGCUCUGUCCGAAGUGAUGGGGAGCCCAUGAAAGGGGUGAAGUUUCUUCUCUUUUCUUCUUUAGUAACUAAAGAGGAUGUCCUGGGCUGCAAUGUCUCACCAGUGCCUGGGUUCCAGCCCCAAGACGAGAGUCUGGUGUAUUUGUGCUACACGGUCUCCAAAGAAGAUGGCUCAUUCUCCUUCUAUUCAUUGCCAAGUGGGGGCUACACUGUGAUUCCCUUCUAUC